CGCCUAUUGAACUAUUAUAAUAGGUAAGCCCUGCCCAGUGAUUCGUUUAACGGCCGCGGUAUCCUGACCGUGCAAAGGUAGCAUAAUCAUUUGCCUCUUAAUUAGAGGCUAGUAUGAAUGGGUAAACGAAAGCCAAACUGUCUCAUUUAUUUCUAUAUAAAUUAAUCCUCAGGUGAAGAAGCCUGAAUUUUAAUAAAAGACAAGAAGACCCUGUCGAGCUUGAUUUUAUCCUUAAAAACUUCUAUAUUAACUUUUUAAACUAAAAUUUUGUUGGGGCGACAAAGGAACUAUCAAUCUUCCUUUAUAUAAAAAGAUUCCAAAUCUCUUUAAGGACCCAUUUUAUGAUCUUAGAAAAAGCUACCGCAGGGAUAACAGGCUAAUCUUCCUCAAGAGCCCAAAUCUAAAGGAAGGAUUGGCACCUCGAUGUUGGCUUAGGAUAUCUUCUAAAUGCAACAAUUUAAAAAGAAGGUUUGUUCAACCUUUAAUCU
rnacentral:rRNA from 2 species